AAAAGUAAUUAAGAGCAAAUGGCGGAUGCCUAGGCUCUCAGAGGCGAUGAAGGACGUGGUAAGCUGCGAUAAGCUACGGUAAGGUGCAAACAACCAUUACAACCGUAGAUUUCCGAAUGGGGCAACCCUCCCGAUUGAAGAUCGGGAACCCGAAUAGGGGGCUAACCCAGGGAACUGAAACAUCUAAGUACCUGGAGGAAAAGAAAACAAUAGUGAUUCCCUAAGUAGUGGCGAGCGAACGGGGAGAAGCCCAAACCAAAGUAAUUUCGGUUGCUUUGGGGUUGUAGGACCACGUUGUGGUUUUGUUAUCAGAAGUAGAAAACAUCUGGAAAGAUAUACCAAAGAGGGUGAUAGUCCCGUAUACGUAUAGUUAACAAAACCUAGUGGUAUCCUGAGUAGCGCGGGACCGGAGAAAUCCUGCGUGAAUCUGCCGGCACCAUCCGGUAAGGCUAAAUACUCCUGAGAGACCGAUAGUGAACUAGUACCGUGAGGGAAAGGUGAAAAGAACCCCUAACAGGGGAGUGAAAUAGUACCUGAAACCAUUUGCUUACAACCGGUCGGAGCCUAGAUUUAUCUGGGUGACGGCGUGCCUUUUGCAUAAUGAACCUACGAGUUACUCGUCACUGGCAAGGUUAACCAAUUAGGGGAGCCGUAGCGAAAGCAAGUCUGAAUAGGGCGAAUAGUCAGUGGCGGUAGACGCGAAACCUUUGUGAUCUACCCAUGAGCAGGUUGAAGUUCCGGUAACACGGCAUGGAGGACCGAACCAGUAAACGUUGAAAAGUUUUUGGAUGACUUGUGGGUAGGGGUGAAAGGCCAAUCAAACUGGGAGAUAGCUCGUACUCCCCGAAAUGCAUUUAGGUGCAGCCUCGGAAUGUAAGUGUUAUAGAGGUAGAGCUACCGAUUGGACUAGGGGGCUUCAUCGCCUACCAAAUCCUGACGAACUCCGAAUGCUAUAACACAUGUCCGGGAGUGAGGCGCGGGGUGCUAAGGUCACGCGCCGAAAGGGAAACAACCCAGAUUAUCAGCUAAGGCCUCUAAAUCUACAUUAAGUUGUUUAAACGAUGUUUGGUUGCUAUGACAGCUAGGAUGUUUGCUUGGAAGCAGCAAUUCAUUUAAAGAGUGCGUAACAGCUCACUAGUCGAGUGAUCGAGCGCGGAAAAUAAUCGGGCAUCAAGUGUACCACCGAAGCUAUGGAUUAGCAGCAAAUGCUGUUAGUGGUAGAGGAGCAUUCCAGUCUGCUGCGAAGGUGUAUCGUGAGGUAUGCUGGAGCGUCUGGAAAAGAAAAUGUAGGUAUAAGUAACGAUAAAAUAUGUGAGAAACAUAUUCGCCGUAAGACUAAGGGUUCCUGAUCAACGUUAAUCGGAUCAGGGUUAGUCGGGGCCUAAGGUGCACCCGAGAGGGGAAACCGAUGGGAAAGGAGUUAAUAUUCUUGUACCAGCUUAUGCUGCGAUGGGGUGACGGAGUAGUGAAAGUCCUGCGUACGGACGGAAGUGUACGUUAAAGGGUGUAGUUUAUGAGAGGGCCAGGCAAAUCCAGUCCUUGAGAUGAAACCCGAUAGUACCGCGAUCUUUUAAGAGAGCGGAUAAUGGACCUAAUCAUACUUCCAAGAAAAACCUCUAAGCUUCAGGCAUAAGCUGCCCGUACCGCAAACCGACACAGGUAGUCGAGGAGAGUAUCCUCAGGCGCUCGAGUGAUUCACGGCUAAGGAACUCGGCAAAAUAGACCCGUAACUUCGGGAGAAGGGUCGCCCCGCGCAAGCGGGGCCGCAGUAAAAAGGCUCAGGCGACUGUUUAGCAAAAACACAGGGCUCUGCAAAAUCGAAAGAUGAAGUAUAGGGCCUGACACCUGCCCGGUGCUGGAAGGUUAAGGAAGCUUGUUAGUGGGAAACUGCGAAGCUUGUAACUGAAGCCCCAGUAAACGGCGGCCGUAACUAUAACGGUCCUAAGGUAGCGAAAUUCCUUGUCGGGUAAGUUCCGACCUGCACGAAUGGUGUAACGAUCUGAGCACUGUCUCGGCCGUGAGCUCGGUGAAAUUGUAGCCCCGGUGAAGAUGCCGGGUACCCGCAACGGGACGGAAAGACCCCGUGAACCUUCACUACAACUUUGCAUUGACUUUGAGUAAACGAUGUGUAGCAUAGGUGGGAGACUUUGAAGCGGGCACGCUAGUGUUCGUGGAGUCAACGUUGAAAUACCACCCUUUGUUUACUUAGAGCCUAAUCCGCUAAGCGGAGAAAGUGCAUGGUGGGUAGUUUGACUGGGGUGGUCGCCUCCAAAAGAGUAACGGAG
rnacentral:rRNA from 1 species